rnacentral:rRNA from 1 species
ACACUCCUGCGGGAGGCAGCAGUGGGGAAUAUUGCACAAUGGGCGCAAGCCUGAUGCAGCCAUGCCGCGUGUAUGAAGAAGGCCUUCGGGUUGUAAAGUACUUUCAGCGGGGAGGAAGGCGAUAAGGUUAAUAACCUUGUUGAUUGACGUUACCCGCAGAAGAAGCACCGGCUAACUCCGUGCCAGCAGCCGCGGUAAUACGGAGGGUGCAAGCGUUAAUCGGAAUUACUGGGCGUAAAGCGCACGCAGGCGGUCUGUCAAGUCGGAUGUGAAAUCCCCGGGCUCAACCUGGGAACUGCAUUCGAAACUGGCAGGCUAGAGUCUUGUAGAGGGGGGUAGAAUUCCAGGUGUAGCGGUGAAAUGCGUAGAGAUCUGGAGGAAUACCGGUGGCGAAGGCGGCCCCCUGGACAAAGACUGACGCUCAGGUGCGAAAGCGUGGGGAGCAAACAGGAUUAGAUACCCCUGUAGUCCCAU